GAUAAGAUUCCUUGGCUAUAUGAGUAGUGAAUGUUUAAUUUUGUAAGAUAUUGUCAAACAUUUUCCAAAGUGGUUGUUUCAUCAUUACAUUCCCAGUGGUAGU
rnacentral:pre_miRNA from 1 species